UACGAAGGGGGCUAGCGUUGCUCGGAAUCACUGGGCGUAAAGGGUGCGUAGGCGGUCGGGUAAGUCUGAUGUGAAAUCUCCAAGCUUAACUUGGAAAUGGCAUCGGAUACUAUCCGGCUGGAGGAAUGGAGGGGAGACUGGAAUUCUCGGUGUAGCAGUGAAAUGCGUAGAUAUCGAGAGGAACACCAGUGGCGAAGGCGGGUCUCUGGGCCGUAACUGACGCUGAGGAGCGAAAGCGUGGGGAGCAAACAGG
rnacentral:rRNA from 1 species